CAAGAUCACUGUUAGUACUGUCAAAGGAGCUCUGGGUUACUGCAGUACAUUUUGUGUAUUGAAGACACUGCUGUGACCCAGGCGGAAGUAAAUGUAAAAUGGAUAACCAGUCUUGCAAGCUUCUUUAAUUUGAAUGGUGUCACGCUUCUUGAGCACUGUUGGAGCUGCAUCCCUUCAAACAAGUGAAAGAAUUUUUGCACCAUAUGUAGUCAUAAGAGAAGACCUGUUGGGCUGUAGACGCCCGUGAAAACUGUCACAGUGUUUGUACAAAAGUGUUUGCGGAUAUUUGCACAGAAACCCUUCUCAUGCAGGUUAAUGACGGGUCAAGGCGCCAGCAAGCGUGUCUCAAGACCUUCAUGGAGAUGGAGAAGAUGGCAGAGGAGCUGCACAUAUUGACCAAGGAACAGAAUGUCAAGGCGGAGAUUCGGGCGGAAUGUGAGGAUUUUACCCGAGAUGAGCACGACGACACAUCUGAAUCUCCCAUCGAGGAGAGCAAGCAGUGAUUUUCUGUGAAUUUCUACUGAGGGAUUUGUUUGAUUUCUGCUCUUCCUGCCACCUUAUUACUGCAAAUGAUGUCAGGACUGAUUGGGAUUGGACCAGCUAGAGCAAUGCUUCCCAUACCUUUUCUGACUGUGACACUAUUUCGAGGCUUGAAAGCUGUCAUGAAUCCUCGAUGAGUGAUGGAGGCAGAGGAGCAGACCUGCUAGAGCAGGGCGGGGAACGAGAUUCACCAUUUGCUGCCUUGGAGCUUGUAAUCCCAUUUAAAUGCCAGGACAUUGUGAACUAGAGUUUUAGAUGCAUUGUAGGUUGUUGCACCUGAUUAGUUCAGUGUUGAUUUUGAAUAUGGAAGCUAUAAUUGUCAUUUGUAUGAUGGAAGUUUGUGUAGUAAUUUGCUUAUUCAUGCUGUCUUUGCACAUUGGGACUGCAUAAAUGGCCAGCUGUGUUCAAAUAUAGUAGUUGGAACCCAUCUCUGCCCCCAAGAGUGCCAAGGAUUUGGACAGGGUUUGACUUGUCUACUUCUCUCAUACCUUUAAUGAUGGUGUCAUUUAUGCACAUAUUCUGUCUAGAAAUGAGUGGGUUUGUAUUGCAUUACUCAAAGUGGGUGACCAUAGUUAGACUGGGAGGGCUGGUUUGCUCAGCACUUGUCUAGAUGGAUAGCCUGUUGAUCAGCUUCAUCCCAAAAGCAUCAGCUUCACUCCUCCCUGUUUGACUGUGGUAGAUUUUAGUUCUGUUUGCCUUGCUAUACUUGUAAAAACAAUCUCAACACUUUGGUGAUUGUUUGCUAAAUCACAGCAAAAACCUAGCUUUGGACAAACAACUUGAGAAGAAGCUAGAGUGAGUGCUGUGCUAUGUCAAGAACUUAUGGCAGCUGAUGGAUGUCAUAAGUCUCAGGUGUAGUUAUAAACAAGAAGCAGGAGCAGGCCAUUCAGCCUAUUUGGCUUUCUCUACCAUUCAAUAAGAUCAUGACUGAUCUGAUGGCAAGCUUAUCUGCAUUUACCCAAUCACUUUUUAAGGAAGAAAGUUUCAAAAACACUUGACCCUCAGAGAUUAAACAUUGACCCCUAAUUCUACAUUCUUGGAUAAGAGGAAGCAUCUUCUCCACAUCUACCCUGUCAAAAUCCAUCUGUGUAUAAAUCUUAUGUUUUUCCAUCAAGUCACCUGUUGCUCUUCUGAACUCCAGUGGAUACAAGCCUAACCUGACCAAUAUUUAAUCCCAAGAAAAUCUGCCUAUUCUGGGUAUUAGUCUAGUAAACAUUGUCUGAACUUUUUCCAAUACACUUGCUUCCUUCCUUAAAUAUGGGGACCGGUACUGUACAUAGUACUCCAGAUGUGAAUCUCGUGCCCUGUGUAACUGAAGUGUAAACUUUGUACUUUAGUAUUCUGUUCCCGUCAUGAUAAAUGACAUUCUG